GGGCUCGAACGUAAGAUUGACUGUAGUGAAAGCUUACAUCUCUUCGGAGCAUUUUACGAGGUGCUGCAUGGUUGUCGUCAGCUCGUGCCGUGAGGUGUCGGGUUAAGUCCCAUAACGAGCGCAACCCCUACCUUUAGUUGCCAUCAGGUUAAGCUGGGGACUCUAAAGGAACUGCCUACGCAAGUAGUGAGGAAGGCGGGGAUGACGUCAAAUCAGCACGGCCCUUACGUCCAGGGCUACACACGUGCUACAAUGGCCGAUACAGAGGGCAGCUACCUGGUGACAGGAUGCAAAUCUCCAAAGUCGGUCUCAGUUCGGAUCGGAGUCUGCAACCCGACUCCGUGAAGUUGGAUUCGCUAGUAAUCGCGCAUCAGCCAUGGCGCGGUGAAUACGUUCCCGGGCCUU
rnacentral:rRNA from 1 species